GUAUGAAGGGUGAGCUAUAAAACUGGCCCUCGCACUGUGACCUUCAAUGAUCUAUUGUGCUUCUCAUUUGGAUUAAGAGUACAGACGUAUUUACGUACGUACGUUCCAGUUAGGGUAGGUUUAUGCUGGCACGUCAGUAUGUUGGUAACCGGUACAUUACGCUUUUACAUGAUGAAAGCCACAUAAGGUAAACUAUAAGACUGCUCGUGUUGAUCUCUUGACAGCUGCAAAAACUGUGUGUGAGGGUGGUGGUGUAAACUCGCCCAACCUAACCUGUUGGAAGUCUAUGUAAAUCAAGACGCGCUCAGACAAGUGGCCCGGAAUGCCGGGAGGAAAAACAAGUGACGUGUGAUGUUUGUGAGUGGAAUUAUAUUCCGUAAGUUGGUAAUUCAUAGGAAACGGUGAAAUUUGAUAGAUAGGAAUGGUUGUCUGCAUUAUAGAAGUUUGAUAGUUGUGAGGAAUAUCAAAGGUUAUAUAUGAUACAGUUUUGAAUGUAGGGAUGUUGUGUAAAGUGUGUGAGGUUGGAGGUUUUGGGUGCAGGGGGGAGGAGUGGAUUUGAUUCUACAUACGUGGUAUGUGCCUACUGUUCAGGAGAAUCCAUGUCUUUCCAGAUAACAUUAUGGGUCUGAAUAUGUGAGUUCCGUUUAUGUGCUGGCAUCAUGAUCUGCAGUCAUGUUAAGAGGUUGGGUACCCUGUGAGAGUGACGUAAAUAUCCGGGGUACAAAGUCAAGGUACGUUA